GAUCCUGGCUCAGGAUGAACGCUAGCUACAGGCUUAACACAUGCAAGUCGAGGGGCAGCAUUUUUAUAGCAAUAUAAAAGAUGGCGACCGGCGCACGGGUGAGUAACACGUAUCCAACCUGCCGUCUACUCUUGGCCAGCCUUCUGAAAGGAAGAUUAAUCCAGGAUGGGAUCAUGAGUUCACAUGUCCGCAUGAUUAAAGGUAUUUUCCGGUAGACGAUGGGGAUGCGUU
rnacentral:rRNA from 1 species